rnacentral:rRNA from 1 species
GACGAACGCUGGCGGCGUGCUUAACACAUGCAAGUCGAACGGAAAGGCCCUGCUUUUGUGGGGUGCUCGAGUGGCGAACGGGUGAGUAACACGCGAGUAACCUGCCCUUGACUUUGGGAUAACUUCAGGAAACUGGGGCUAAUACCGGAUAGGAGCUCCUGCUGCAUGGUGGGGGUUGGAAAGUUUCGGCGGUUGGGGAUGGACUCGCGGCUUAUCAGCUUGUUGGUGGGGUAGUGGCUUACCAAGGCUUUGACGGGUAGCCGGCCUGAGAGGGUGACCGGCCACAUUGGGACUGAGAUACAGCCCAGACUCCUACGGGAGGCAGCAGUGGGGAAUAUUGCACAAUGGGCGGAAGCCUGAUGCAGCAACGCCGCGUGCGGGAUGACGGCCUUCGGGUUGUAAACCGCUUUCGCCUGUGACGAAGCGUGAGUGACGGUAAUGGGUAAAGAAGCACCGGCUAACUACGUG